UGGAAAUAAAGCGGUGCGUAGGUCGGUCUAAGUAAGGUCAAAAGGUGAAACUCCCCCGGAGCUUCACCUUGGGGAACUGCCGUUCGAUGGUUGNNUGGCUAGAGUGUGGGAGAUGAUGGUAGUAUUCGCAGGAGCAGCGAUGAAAUGCGUGGUGAUCUGGAGGAAUACCGAUGGAGACGGCAGCCAUGUGGCCUAACACUGCCGCUGCGGUGCGAAAGCAUGGGGAGCAAACAGGAUUAGAUACCGUGGUACUCCACGCCGUAAACGAUGUCUACUAGCCGUGGGCGCCUUUGCGGCUUGAGUGGCGCAGCUAGCGCGAUAAGUAGACCGCCUGGGGAGUACGGUCGCAAGACUAAAACUCAAAUGAAUUGACGGGGGCCCGCACAAGCGGUGGAGCAUGUGGUUUAAUUCGAUGCAACGAGAAGAACCUUACCUGGCCUUCACAUAGUAGAAACUUUCCAGAGAUGGAUUGGUGCCUUCGGGAAUCUACACACAGGUGCCGCAUGUCUGUUGUCAUCUCGUGUCGUGAGAUGUUGGGUUAAGUCCCGCAACGAGCGCAACCCUUUUCCUUACUUCCCCGCAUUUCGGAUGGGAACUUUAAGGAUACUGCCAGUGACAAACUGGAGGAAGGCGGGGACGACGUCAAGUCAUCAUGGCCCUUACGGCCAGGGCUACCCACGUGCUCCAAUGGUCGGUACAAAGGGUUGAUACCUAGCGAUAGGAUGCUAAUCUCAAAAAGCCGAUCGUAGUCCGGAUUGGAGUCUGCAACUCGACUCCAUGAAGUCGGAAUCGCUAGUAAUCGCGGAUCAGCAUGCCGCGGUGAAUACGUUCCCGGGCCUUGUACACACCGCCCGUCACACCAUGGGAGUUUGUUGCACCAGAAGUAGCUAGCCUAACUGCAAAGAGGGCGGUUACCCACGGUGGUU
rnacentral:rRNA from 1 species